AUUGAACGCUGGCGGCAGGCCUAACACAUGCAAGUCGAGCGGAUGAAGGGAGCUUGCUCCUGGAUUCAGCGGCGGACGGGUGAGUAAUGCCUAGGAAUCUGCCUGGUAGUGGGGGAUAACGUCCGGAAACGGGCGCUAAUACCGCAUACGUCCUGAGGGAGAAAGUGGGGGAUCUUCGGACCUCACGCUAUCAGAUGAGCCUAGGUCGGAUUAGCUAGUUGGUGGGGUAAAGGCCUACCAAGGCGACGAUCCGUAACUGGUCUGAGAGGAUGAUCAGUCACACUGGAACUGAGACACGGUCCAGACUCCUACGGGAGGCAGCAGUGGGGAAUAUUGGACACUGGGCGAAAGCCUGAUCCAGCCAUGCCGCGUGUGUGAAGAAGGUCUUCGGAUUGUAAAGCACUUUAAGUUGGGAGGAAGGGCAGUAAGUUAAUACCUAGCUGUUUUGACGUUACCAACAGAAUAAGCACCGGCUAACUUCGUG
rnacentral:rRNA from 1 species